CUCAGCAAUUGCUUGAUGCAUAUGUUUCUGGAUUCUCUAUGUACUAACCCCCUACUCCAGCCUAGAGUCUACCCUGCACCUAGCCGUAUUCCAGUCCUGUCACAGCACUGCUCCUGCUUUUCCUGACUUCAGAGCUAGAUCCUACAGAUCUUCAACUGCCAUCAGUGGGAGUUUUGCCCAUGUAAGGACUGCAGGAUGGGACCCAGAACAUUCAAUGAAAAAGGAGGAGACUUGCACAGAGGCCAAGAAUGUAGAAGCAUUUCUCAUUCCUGCUGGUACAAGUGGUUCUGCACAAUCAAUAUCUUUUUGGCACUGCACAGGCAAUAUUGAUGUUAUCUGAGUGCAGUAGCAAUUCUAGUUGCUUCCAAACACUACAUUAUUUAUGACUGCAAAUGAAUGUAUGCAAGCAAUGGAGAUUCACAUCCCUAAUUACAUUAGUGCCUGGCACUAGGGCCUGGGAAUUUACUGCAGCAGUAAAUUAAUGACUCCGAGGAUAAACACCAUAGAAAUCAAUCUUGUAGAAAACGACAGAUUUGCUGAUAUGAGAAGACUGUGGGAACAGAUGCAGCUCACCUUUUAGAUAUGACUAAAUUUAAUGGCUGUGAUAACUGGUUCCUAAGUUAGUGAGAUCAGUUCUUCAAAAUGUGCUGUUUAACCAGGGCUGUAAAGGGUACCUAGGGCAGCAUGGAGUCCUAGUUAAAAAUUCUCCAUGAAGUUGAAGGGAAGCUGGGAUGAUUUCUCUGGUCUGGGAAAUGAUUUCACCCCUCUCUGGACAUUUACACUUCUGAAGAGCCUAAUUAUUUUUUUGCCUUUGGAAUACACCAGACCGCACAAACUACUGUAUGUAUUUAUUUUAAACUCCAGGGGAGCAUCCCCCCUUCAGCUCUUCCA